rnacentral:rRNA from 1 species
AUUGAACGCUGGCGGCAUGCUUUACACAUGCAAGUCGAACGGCAGCGCGGGCUUCGGCCUGGCGGCGAGUGGCGAACGGGUGAGUAAUGCAUCGGAACGUGCUCAGUCGUGGGGGAUAGCCCGGCGAAAGACGGAUUAAUACCCCAAACGACCUGAGGGUGAUAGCGGGGGAUCGAAAAGCCUGGCGCUAUUGGAGCGGCCCGUGUAGGAUUAGCUAGUUGGUGGGGUAACGGCUUACCAAGGCAAUGAUCCGUAGGGGGCCUGAGAGGGCGAUCCCCCACACUGGUACUGAGACACGGAGCAGACUCCUACGGGCGGCAGCAGGGAGGAAUAGUGGACAAGGGGUUAGCGCCUGAUCCAGCAAGCCCGAGUGAAGGACGACGGCCCUAUGGGGUGGAAACUUCUUUUGUAUAGGGAUAAACCUACUCUCGUGAGAGUAGCUGAAGGUACUAGAAGAAUAAGCACCGGCUAACUCCGU